rnacentral:lncRNA from 1 species
GAGGCGGCGGGGCGCGCCGCCUGGGCCGGACACGCCUUCGCGUCCUGUCCGGGUCCCCGAGCUCUGGUUGCCUGGAUAACUGCAGCGUUCCGGGGCGAGGUGCAGGGGCGGGGCGUAGGGCUGGCUGCUGCGGGACGUGGGGUCCUGGGUGGAGCCGGCAGCCAAGGCCCCUAAGAGAACUUCGCAGCUUUAACUUGGUGAACCUGGUGUAAUGUGAGGUGGUCUCCGGUUGGGCUAAAACAUUGUUGGGACUAAAGUGCUUCCUGCACCUCUUUCUACUGGUCUAUAAUUUUUUUAAGGUAUCUCUAAAAACACUUUUUUUUUUUUUUAAGGACGUGCUUAGUCUAGGCCAAACAAUGAGGGUGCCAAGAUGGCUUUUCGAGACCGCAGAUCUGUCAGACCCGCAGUCUGACAGCUCCGGACAGAGGCCGGAGGGAGGCGGGCCUGUCGGCUUUGGAACACUUUGAUCUCAGCCGGAAGAUAGGUGUUCCCGUCUCACAGGGCAGGGGGCGCCUGGAGAGCCGUAGGGUCUCUCAAUCCCCUCACCGCCGCUUCCUCACUCCUCCAAGGGAAAAAUGAAUUCGUACAUUUUUGGAGGUCCCUUUCUCUUGAAUUUUGAAUCCACCUUUCAAGAAUAAUUAUAGGGCUGGGACUGUAGAGUGCUUACCUAGUGUGCUUGAAGCCCUGGGUUCAAUCCCCAGGACCAUUUUGGAAAUGAGUCAUCACAGCCUCUGCCUUGGUGGCAUAAAUUUGUGUAUGUAUUCAAGCGAUAAAAUCAUUAUUUAACUAAAAAGAAAAAAAGGAAUAAUUGCACCAUUUUUUAAGGUAAGGAACUGUGUGCUUCGUUACCUUUUCACUCUUCUAAGGGAGAUUAAUCCAAGGGCUCAGUGCUAAAUAGUGACUCAGCUGCCCCACCCUAUAAGCAGCAAACUACUGAUGCUCAAGAAGGCCCACUUUAAGGACACUGAUCAGUGGUGGUGGGGGGAGUCAUUUUAAAGGACACAAGGAAAUUCUCAGUCUUCAGCUAGUCUCACUCAACAGAUGGGCUUGAU